CUGUUUCCUGCUCAGCUCCAACGAUUCAUUUCACUUUAACAGCAACAGUUUGGAUCACUGUGUCUUUAUCUGUGACAUCUAGAAUGAGUCCUAUAAAGAAUAAACAUCUCUUGGUUUUGCAUCAUGUUGUUGUCGUCCUCCUUUUUCUAACACAAACUUGUGGUGGUCAGCAUCAGAUGAUUGGUCCAACUCAGCCAGUAGUGGCCAUGAUUGGUGAUGACAUCAUGUUGCCAUGCCACCUGGAACCUGCUGUGGAUGCUGUUGACCUGACUGUGGAUUGGUCCAGAACUGACCUCAAACCUAGAUCUGUCUAUGUGAGGCGAGAGGGUGUGGAGCUUCUGACUGAGCAGAAUCCUUUGUACACAGGAAGAACAUCACUCUCUGUCAACAAACUGCAGUGUGGAGACGUUUCAUUAAAACUCUCCACAGUGCAACUCUCUGAUGCAGGAACAUACAAAUGCCUUGUACCUAAAUUUAAU